UACGUAGGGGGCAAGCGUUGUCCGGAAUCAUUGGGCGUAAAGCGCGUGUAGGCGGCCCGGUAAGUCCGCUGUGAAAGUCGGGGGCUCAACCCUCGAAUGCCGGUGGAUACUGUCGGGCUAGAGUGCGGGAGAGGCGAGUGGAAUUCCUGGUGUAGCGGUGAAAUGCGCAGAUAUCAGGAGGAACACCAAGUGCGAAGGCAGCUCGCUGGAACGUAACUGACGCUGAGACGCGAAAGCGUGGGGAGCGAACAGG
rnacentral:rRNA from 1 species